rnacentral:SRP_RNA from 1 species
GCCGGGUGUGGUGGCAUGUGCCUAUAGUCCCAGCUACUAGGGAGGCUGAGGUGGGAGGAUCACUUGAGCCCAGGAGUUCUGGGCUGUAGUGCGCUAUGCCAAUUGGAUGUCCACACUAAGUUCAGCAUCAGUAAGGAGCAGGGGACCACCAGGUUGCCUAAGGAGGGGUGAACCGGCCCAGGUUGGAAACGGAGCAAGUCAAAAAGUCCCAUGCUGAUCAGUAGUGGGAUCACGCCUGUGAAUAGCCAUGGACUCUAGCCUGGCCAACAUAGUCAGACCCCGUCUCC